UACGUAGGUGGCAAGCGUUGUCCGGAUUUAUUGGGCGUAAAGCGAGCGCAGGCGGUUCCGUCAGUCUGAUGUGAAAGCCCCCGGCUCAACCGGGGAAGGUCAUUGGAAACUGGGGAACUUGAGUGCAGUAGAGGAGAGUGGAAUUCCAGGUGUAGCGGUGAAAUGCGUAGAUAUAUGGAGGAACACCAGUGGCGAAGGCGACUCUCUGGGCUGUAACUGACGCUGAGGCUCGAAAGCGUGGGGAGCAAACAGG
rnacentral:rRNA from 1 species